AUGUUAAUUUCGGUUGUCAACUCCACUUUUACCCGUCUGUAUCUGCCAUUAAAUAGAACUGAAUUCUCUAUGUAGUUACCAACUAUUGUCUUAAUUAUAAAAUAAAUAUCUACUAUGACCUAUGACUGCAAAAAAUAAUCUUCUAGCUCCUGUUUUGUGUUAUUAAGCAAUGCUAUGGCAACCCACAUGGCUAUAAUUAUUCAAUAAAGAAAGAAUGACCUUUGUAUUCUGAAAGGAGGAAAACCCAUAAAAUUAAAGAGAACGUGAUAUUUGAAGAUAUCCCAAAACACACAAAAUGCAUAUAUCUGGUUACUUAACAUGCACAUGUUACUAAUUUGUCAUGUACACACAAAAGGUGUGAUUUAUGGCUGUGUCAUGAUGAACAUUAUAGAUAUGCAAAUGAUCUGGUAAAUCUGUGACCUACUGUGUUUCAGAAAGAUUUGGGCAUCCGUGGAAUUUCAGAGGCAAUAUGGCAGGUCAAAUGUAGCACAGUACACAAGGGAUGCUGGACAGCAUUGCCAAAAGUCAGCAUUCCAUUUCAAUGUGUUGUACAUUCUGUGAAAAGUGAAAUCAUAUUUGGAGAGGAAAAACAGCUGAUAAAACACAGACAGACAUGGACUUGAAUAUUAUAGAGGCAGUAUGGGGUCACCUGGACAGAGAAAGAAAUAAAAGACAACCUAAAUCUAAAGAAGAACUUUGUGAAGUGUUGAAAGAAGCCUUGUAUAAUAUACCAGAAGACUUCAGGACAUUCUCCCCAAAAGAGUUUAAGAUGUGCUUAGUGCCAAGGGAAGUGACAAUGAAUACUGACUUUUGCCUGAAGAAGCUUUUUUUUCUGAAAAUUGUUUUUUCCUUAUAUUUUGUGUUUCCUGUAUUUUCUGUUUGUAUCUUUAUAAAAAGACCAAAAUAUAAAUAUAGAUGGUCAUUAAAACUAUGCUAAAACAA